rnacentral:lncRNA from 10 species
GCAAAAAGGCUCAAGCUUCUGUGCCCCUGGGAAAUGGCAGAGGAAGACAGCUUCAGCCUCAGAGCACACAGCACUGAGUUGUAAGAAACAGGUCUCAUCAUCCCCUUGGCCAGCAGAUUUUCACCCUGGGCCCACUAAGAAGCCUGCCAGGGGGUCCUCUGUUGUCUGGACCCUGAGGCUUCAUCCUCAAUGUGUUGGAGCCUAGGAGAGAGGAUUAGAGUUAUGCGAGAUGAGGUCUCAAUGAAGCAGUGUUGUUGCCUGGGGUAAAUACCCGGGUUCAUCAUCUCGAGCCAAGAAGAUUAAGGACAUGAACACACAUGAAGAUCAAGGGAGAAGCAGUGAUGUUUUAGUAUCCAGAAAGUGGAAAUAACCCAAAUGCCCAUCAACAGCAGAAUGAAAUUGUACUAUAUUCACACCAUGGAAUAUUGUAUAGCAAAGAGAAUGAAUGAACUAUUAACAGAAAAGACAUGGACAAAUCUCAUAAACAUGAUGCUGAAAGAAACCACAGUCAAAAAAGAAGAUGCUUCCCAACCUUUUGCAGACCAUGGCAUACGCAGAAAAUGACAACAUCGGAAUGGCACACUGGCAUACCAGUUGGGGAUCCUUGCAGUCAAUGCUGACUGGACUCAUCCUUCAGCCGCCCCCAAGAAGAGAGAGAUCAAUACCUUGGCACAUCUGUGGGAAAGCUCCCAUUAGAGAGUGUGGGGAAGACACAGGCCUCCACAACACAUUUCAGGUUCUCUAAACUGGCAAAGGGGAAGAGUCUGGGCUUCCUUUGCCCUUUUGUUCUCAAAGAGCCCAGCUGUGCACACCCCUCACCCCUGCACUAUAGCUCCCAUUUGGGUAGUGAAAAAUCACAGGACUCAGGGGAGUUAUGCAGCAUUCGGGAAUGGAGACCUGGAAAGCCACACACUCCUCCUUGCUUUCCUGUGAGCCUCUCUUCUUGCUGUCCCCUUUACAACCAACAGUCCCUGCAGGGGGAAGACACUCUGCUUUAGUCAGUUCCACCUCCCUUCCAGAUCUCAUCCUCCUUUCAGCCUAAUUUUCCUCACACUGUCAUGCUCCUUCCCACUGCUCGCCCCCCACCCCCUACUCUCCUCCAGCACAUCACACAUUGCGCCUGGGCACACUGAGCUUGUCUGCCAUCUAUGAAGAGGCCCAUGUCACCCAAGCCCUUCUCUUUCCCUGUCAUGCCAUAGCCUCUUCCAGGAGCGCUCAGCCUGCUGUUUCUGCUCAGACCUCCCCUCCUCUGCAAAGCCUCCUUCUGCGUGCUGCCCGAGAGCCAUCCCCCACUUGGGUUUGUGUUACUGCUGUGUAUGGCAGCAUCUUCACUGUGCCUGAUUUCCCGUCUUGGCCCAUCGUAGGUGCUCAACAAUUGUUUCUCAAAUGACCAGCGCCUGCAGAGGGACCCUGACAUGAACUCCACCCCACCCCGACUCUUGGCAGUUACUCACUGUCCCCUUGAGUCGGGAUCCCAGCCCCUCAGGGGACCUGUCUUGCAGCCAUUCCACGCUCUGUCACCCCACUGCCAGGAGACUAGAGCCACACUGCCUGGAUGACGCUCAUCUUUACCAGCUCGCAGCUCUGCCAGCUGCCUGCUCAGGGGUGGCCGCCAGCUGAGGGAUUGAGCUGAUUAUAGGUGAAUCAGCACCAGGCUGAUUGUGGUGUGAAAAAGGGGAAGGGUGACUGUGUCUUAGCCUCAAUCCUGGCUCCCCUCCUUCCAGCCCUGACCUGCAGUAACAGCACAGGGCCACCAGAGGCUCUAUUGGGCGACUCAUGCCCCGCGGAGAAAGGCCCAGUAGGAGAGCAUCUGACCCAGUUCCCAGCAGAUGAGAAAGGAAGAAGAGUUCAGGAGGCUUCUACUCUCAGAGGUCUCCAGCACUGAAACCCCGCAGCCGCACCUGGCUGCCUUAUCCUUGUGUUUUGCCCCUCAUGGGUCUAGAAGCUGUUGUGUUACACCUUAACAUCUUCCUCCUUGCUUGCCAUGAGCCCCUCUGCUUGCAGCCCCCUUUACAGAACAACAGUCAUGGUAGAGGGAAGAUGUCUCCACUUUUGUCAGUUCUGCCUCCUUUAGGAGAGUGUCAGGCCUAACCCAUGUGUGCUCUGUCUUUCAGGGCAUGGAAAAGACUAUUGUCCUGUUUCGUCUUUUCAACACCUCUUGACUCUCUCCCCCUGGUUUCCUAACAGCCAGCUAGGUUCAGGGCCUCCCAUCUCUGGCCAGGAUUAGUGCAAUGGCUUUCUGAAGGGUCCCAGGCUCCAGGGAGCCCCUUGCCCAUCAAGUCUCUACCCUGGAGCCAGACAGCCCUUACUUCCAUCAGACAUCAGCCUCCAGUGGCUCCGAAAGGCCAGGCAUCCACACAGCACCCCACGGCCCCAAGAACUGGCUGCUUGAUUUUCCUGCCCUGUGUCCCUCCUCUCCUUGGCCCUCUACCCAGCAAUCACCCCAAAACACUGUGAUGUUUCAAGCCUUUGUACUUUGCACACAUUCUUCUCCAUGGCCUAAUUCCCUCUCUCCACCCCUCACUCCACACCUCCUCCACCUUUACCCUUUCUCCCCAUUCUUUCUUCACCGGGCACAGCCCUACUUAUCCUUCAAAACUGCCACUUCCUCUGCGAAGCCUUUCCUGACCCGUGUCCCAGAAUCCCUCCUCUGAACAAAUCCUGUUCCCUAAACAUGCAUCUCUCAUUGUAUCUGUCACUCAAGGGUUGCAAUAAUUACACACACGCCUGUCCUUUGUCCUCCACUGGCUCUGUACCUCCAUGUGGGACCCAUGGCCAGCACACAUUGGUGGUGCCCGAAAGCUGUUGCACUGGAGUUGUUCCUUCUGCCCCAUCACCUCCCACCUUGAACAAGUCCUUUAGAUGACCUGAACUCCAGUUUGUUGAUCUGCAAAAUGGAGAGAUGUGAGAAUCAGAAGAGAACACGUAAUGAAAGGGUGUUAUAAACUGCUAAGGGCUGUACAAAUGUUUGUAUUGCAUUUUUGUCUUCCAGACUAGUGUUUACCUACACUUGCCUGUGUGGAAAUCAGAAGAUUAAAGGAAUGCGAUGUGAUCUUUUUGUAAUUUCCCCACUUGGGUCAAGGGAAAAGCUGGUCAAGAGUAAACCAUUAAUUCAUCCCCCUGCAGGCCCCCCAAUCUUCCCUAGAAUUCUGGGUUAAUGAUUCUGAGGUUGUUUUCCUCACAGAGCCAAUUCAUAUCUAAUCUUUGGCAUGUUCCCCCCUUUAUUAAGAAUAACUUGACUCACCCCAUUAAUUCCUCAUCCUGGGGUCACGAGCCUUGUUUUGCAGAAGGAAAUGGUGGCUGUGUGUAUGUCUUGGGCCUUCUUUCUUUCUCAAACCCCUUUCUUUCAUGGAUUCAUGCCUACAAUUCCCUCUGUGGACAGAAGAGACCUCUCCUUACCUGCAUAAUGAAAUGUGUGACUUUUCUCAAAAGUAGCUUUAGGAAUUAACUGUGGAGGUCCAAGUAGCAAGGAUGCUGUGACCUAACUCGUUACCCCCUCACGUGUGGUUUGGAAUCCCAGCAGAAAAAAUUUCCUGAAGAUCUGGUACGGAGAAACCAUUCUGGGCCUGGCUUUUAAAUGUUUUAUUAGCAGCUGGGCGAGGACUGGGCUGCAAAGAGAUGCAGCCCCCGUCAGAAGCGAUCCCUGUUGGGGAGCAAGGCCUGGAAUUCCAGGAGGGAGGUCUGUUUAUAGCUGAGGCAGAGGCUGGGGAGCGAAGCCUGGGAGCCAGACAUGGCUUAAGGGUGGUCUGGACACUCUUGAGAUAAGGCCAACUAAGGACUAUGAGCUCAUUGAAGUUCCAAAGCCAACUCACAGCAGCUCACCACCAGACAUGUCCCCUGCCCCCACAUUCCCUCCUCUCAAUCCAGGAAUUUUGGUGCUCAUCUCUAUAAAGUUUUAGACCAUGGUGGUAGGAACCUGGUAAGUCUCAGGUUCUUGCAUUGCCCGAUUCUCCUUGGAUUUGCUGGGUUUGCCUCCUUCCCAUGUCUCAGACAGGGCUUUGCAUAAAGAAGUGGGCUGGUAGAUCUGCAAAGGUCCCUCUGUGUGACUGGAGCAAGUUACCCUCUUGAGCCUCAGUGUCCUCUUCUGUAAAAUAGGGAUAUCAUUCUUUCUUUCCCAAGGCUUUUGGUAAUAAUGUCAUUCUCAUGUGAUUCUUAACAAAAUGGGCCUUUCAGACUUAGAUCACUUUUGUGCAUGCAUAAAAAUGAAAGCAUUGAGGAGAAGGAAUUGGUGAAUAUAUGUCUGGAGCAAUAACUUCAUCAGAACUGCCACGGUGGUUGUAGGACCAUUCUGAUUCCAGAGGUAUUAAAAUGCAAAACACAAUGUUGAAAUGCAAAACCCAACAAAAUAAUAAACAGCCUUGUACCUACCGCCUCCCUUAAGAACUAAAACAAUUCCCAACACCACUGAAAGACUGUGUUCACCUCCUUGAUCCAAUCUCUUGCCUUUCCACCCCAGAGAAAACCACUGUCCUGAAUUUUUUCCCACUCCCUUGGUUUUGUUUUACCAAACAUGUAUCCAAUAUGUAACAUAUUAUUUGUAUUUGAUCUUGUUUUUGAAUUGUCCUGUAGGUAGAAUUAUAUCUUAUUCUGCAAUUUGCUUUUUAAAGUUUUUGAAAGAGCAAAACUUAUCUAUGCUAAUACGCUAAUGUGUGUAGCUGCCAUUUAUUUGUCACUGCAUAUACCCCUCUCAAUUCUGUUGAUGGAAAUUUAGGCAGUUUCCAGUAUUAUUUUGCUACAAACAUUCUCAUGGCUGUCUCCUGCAACAUGUGUGUUUCUUGGGAGUAUAC